rnacentral:tRNA from 5 species
UGUGGGGUUCCCGAGCGGCCAAAGGGAGCAGACUGUAAAUCUGCCGUCAUCGACUUCGAAGGUUCGAAUCCUUCCCCCACCACCA